rnacentral:lncRNA from 1 species
GGCUAUCAAAAUUCCUGUUGUGUCCUUUAGAGGACAUUUUAAUAUACAAUGCAAGAAUGCAUAGCAGUUAAGAAACCUUAAGGGUUAAAAAAGAAUAGCAUACUUUUAAAUUCCUAUUGCAUCUAUGUUUAUUUUCCUUUCUUUACUGAUUUCUCCCCUGCCUUAUUGUGUACUCCAUCCUAUUGCUAUUGGCCCUUCUGCGAUUGCUAGUUGUCUUAUUUUACAAAACUAUUAAAAUUCCUAUUGCAUCCUUUAGCACCUUUUAAAUUUUUAAUACAAGAAUGCGUAGUAGUUAAGACACCUUACGGUUGAAAAAAGAAAUAGCAUGCUAAAGCCAACUCUAAUUAAUGGACUGUUGGUGCUUCCUUAAACCUUGUGUUUUUUUUGCAAAGGGGGCAAUGUUAAUGGGACAGAGGGCGUAGAAUUUUCAAAUGUUAAGGUUUGCUUUGUCAAGCUUAAGUGGCUGGGAAGGAACAUCCUUUAACAUGUUAAAAUGAUCCGACACCAACAUAUCCUUUAUGCUAAUCAAACUCGGUCCCUGAUAUAUCAUGAGAUUACUAAUCUGCUGCUAAUGUUAAGAACCAAGUCAGGAUGGGGGAGGGGAAGAUGGAUGAAUUUUGAAAGUAAUACCCCUGGUCUCUGCUUUCUUCUUCUUUUUUUUAAGCUCUUUCUUUCAUCUAUAGUUUCUUCAAUUUUGCUUUGGUCUGAAUUUUAGUGACCCUCGAAUUGCAAUUGAGAUCAAAGGCACGUCUAUGACUAUAUCUUUUGUUCUAUGCAAGAAAAGAGGAAGUUGAUAAUAUCUAUGACUAGAUAUUUUAUCUCCCUUUUGUAUCAUUUAUUCUUGAUACACUAUUUUGCAAGACAGAGCGCCACCUUUUUCUUGGUUUAUCGAAUUCAUCUAUUAUUAUAGUUUGAUAUUCAAUUUCAAGUAUACUUACAUUCUCUUAUUCACUUGGUAGAUAGUUGUCUCACUCAUAGUCCCUAAUAAAUCUUCAAUAAAUGUUCUUCUUUCCUGUAAGCUUUUUCCAAAUUAUUUCAACUCCAUUAAACAGACUCCUUUUAUGUGUUUUGUUUCUCACUUUCUUUCCACUCAACAAUAAUUCCUUGGUAGAAAUUGUAUGAUAGCAUGGAAAUCCAAUUAAGGUGUCUUGUGAAAUCCGGAUUAGGAGUGUGGUCUGCCUCUCUUAACCUUGAAUUUCUUUAUUUUUUUUGUCAAUUUUUUUACUGUCUACUCUUAAAUUUCGAUAAUCAUAUUUCUUUAUUCAUUACCUACUAUUGCAUGAAUAGUAAUUAACUUUUAGCAUAGCUAAUUGAUUGGUGCCCAGAAGCCCAAUACAAGUCAUUACAAAGUCAAGCACACAAUCGAUUUAGAGAAAUACCAUGGCAGAUUAAAACCCUAAACAAUCUCUGAUUUAUAAAAUAAGAACAAAAAAACAUAAAAAAGCUUGCUCACAGAACUCCAGCUGCUAAGAGAUCUUGAGAGACAACCUCAUUGCUGUAUCUCAAGAACCUUACAAGUAAGUUUUUUGUUUUUGAAUUUCUAUUUUGAGUCAUGAAGCUCAAUCCUAUGUGAAUUUGUUUGUUAUUCAUGGGUCAUGUCUGUAGUCUUUUUCUGGUUAGGAAUUGUUGAGAUUUCUUGUAUAGAUACAUGUGACAAUGGUAGAUCUUAGUCUCUGUCCCACAAAUGAAGCUAUGGUUUAAGAAAUUGGGGGGGGUUUUGUGGCUUAGAGCUCAAAAGAAUCUAGAGUCAAGUUCAGUAGUUGAAUUAUCCAGAGAUAGGAGAGCAGAGAAGGAUUAAUACAAUCAAGUAUUUGAUGGAAAAGACUGAGAGAAGGAAAGAUGAGUUAAAAAAAGAAGCAUUAUUAAAGAAAUAGAAUAAUUACAAAGAAUUCAGGAAGAAAUCAUAAUGCUCCAUAAUGAAUAGAUUUUAUCUUUGCUUCCUAUUUACACAAACACAAGUUUACCCCACGGGAACUGUUUAUCCCCUGAUUAUAACUGCUACCCAAACAAACUACGAACCCUCUUAACAAACACAUUAUAUUAUAGUUACAAGAACUGCAAUAACACAUGUAUCACUCCGAUGCAACCCCUUCCUGCCUUGCUAUGGAUCCUUGCUCAAUGUCAUCCUCCAUUCCUGACUCAGCACCUGUCGUAUGAAUCUUAGUAUCUCCCACAACUUCCUUGUCAUUUAUCCAAGUCCAGUGUUAUCCUCCGUUCCUGACUCAGCACAUGUCAUAUGAAUCUUAGCAUCUCCUCCUUCGAGCUGGAAAUUCUUGUGACAAAACACUUCAUUAUCUGGUGGCUGUCUUCUUAGAAUUACAAGGCACGUUUGCAAUGUGUCUGGGCCCCUCUUUCAACAUCAUGAUUCAUAAUAUCUGCAAAGUUAUGUUCAAGGAUGAAAUAUUCACUAGCAUCCAAAUAGGUUGCAAUUUGGUCCAGAAUUCUUCGACUGACUUACAAACGUUAAAAAUUUUAUCCUCAAACAACACAUUACCUAUAGGCGCUUUCACAAACCCAUCUCUUUUCUGCGUGUGUCGUGAUCAAUGAGUUUUGGCAAGCCACAGCUCCUCUCUUCAACCCUUGCUGCUGGUACAUAGAUCUCUAGUAAGAUUAUUUUGAUCUAUUACUAGAAACAUUCAUGCCCAAAUUUUACAUUUGGGUAGAUGCGAAUGUGAGUUUGACAGUACUAUGGCAUGGUAGAUGCUUCAUGCAUGCUCUGCAACUGCAUUAAGUUGCAGUGGCAUAUGGGAUUAAAUCAGAGUAAGUGGCUUUCAUUCUUUGAAUCGACUUAAGCUGCUUUAAGGGCUUUUGUUUGGCACGGAUCAUGUGGUUGCAGCAUUUAUUUUAAUGCAGAUCACUCUUUUAGUUAAACUUUGUACAUGUAUUACUUGUUUCUGUGGUCUGAAGCAGUUUUCGUUUUUAAUUUGAUAGGGGAAUGGGCAGACAUAGAUGGUUUCUCCCUGCUACUGGAGUACUGGCCACCAUUAUCCAAUUGAAACCCGAAACUCUCACUGCAUCUAUUAUAAACGAUGCUAUCAUAAUCAUGGCUGUUGUUGCUGUGCUCAUCCAUGUUGUAUGCAGUGCAUUUGAAGAAAUGCUUGAAGCUGGUCGCUUCAAAUCAAUUGCUGCUGGCACCGGUCGUCUGGCCAGAGCUCUCGCCAUUACUCUACUACUCAUAAUCUGCGUCCCAAAAAUUUGGUGGUUUCUUCUUUCCGCAUGGGUGUUGUUCUUUAUAUGGGUAACAU